rnacentral:sRNA from 1 species
AUUAUUAAAAAAAAAAAACGUAUAAAAUUGUAGUCUCAAUAUUGAAAUACAAACACCUAGAAUUGAUCGAUUUGGUAGAGAACUAGUUAGUGGAUUAAAUUUGGGUUGGCUGAUUUUCGAGCCAUAAACUAUUUCGAUUCUCAGCUUUCACACCCGGACUUUUGGGCCUUUAAAUUUCCACCAUCAACUUUCAUAUUCCCAAAAUUACAUCAUCUAUUUUUGGAUUCAUGCUUAAACAUACAUUUCCAAUUGAACCAUUCAUUUAACCGGGAUUAACCACAAAUCCGCGUUUACUGUACCGCGAUUGCGAUUAACCCAACUAAUACCCAGACCCGUUAAGAAAACGACGUCGUUUUCAUUUCGUUUAACUCAUCAAAAAGAGAAAGAAAACGACGUCGUUUUCAUUCUUCUUCUUUAACUCUCAAAUCGAUUUAGUCGUUCUUCUUUAAUCUCGACACUGUGAAAUUAGGGUUCUUGAGAGAGAAAGACAAAAGGGGAUUUGGGGUUUUCUUCUUCGGUUCGAAUUUUUGGGUCUCGAUUUGGGUUUCGAAUAGGGAGAAAUGAAGAAUUGGUGGGAGGAAAGAUUGAUUUACCAAAGCGAUCCAGAUGACCCCGAUUUCGAACCUCCAGAGAGUGACAUUGAAGCCGACGAUGGAAGUGAUAGUGGUGAUAGCGGAGUCGAGGAGGACGAAGCCACCAGAAUCGAGGGAGAGGACGUCGGGAUAGAUGGAGACAGAGCUUCUGAUGGAGAGGAAAAUAGAGAAGACGAUGGUGACAUAGCGUCUGAUGGAGACGUCAAUCUAGAAGACGAUGGAGACAGAGAUGAAAGUCAAAAGAAGAGGACUACCAAAUCGAUUUGAGAGUUAAAGAAGAAGAAUGAAAACGACGUCGUUUUCUUAACGGGUCUGGGUAUUAGUCGGGUUAAUCACAAUCGCGGUACAGUAAACGCGGAUUUGUGGUUAAUCCCGGUUAAAUGAAUGGUUCAAUUGAAAAUGUAUGUUUAAUCAUGAAUUCGAAAGUAGAUGAUGUAAUUUUGAGGAAUAUGAAAAUUGAUGGUGGAAAUUUAAGGGCCCAAAAAUCCGGGAGUGAAAACUAAGAAUCGAAAUAGUUUAUGACUCGAAAAUCAGCCAACCCAUUAAAUUUUCGAACCUUCAUCAUUUUGCAGACCCCAAAAACGGAAAUCAUCAAAUCAUCCACCGUGCCAGCGUGACAUUACAAAAU